rnacentral:tRNA from 1 species
GGAGGGCUAGUCUAAUUGGCAAGGCACCGGAUUCGAAAUCCGGCGGGCGUUAAAACCCAUGGGGGUUCAAAUCCCUCGCCCUCCG